UAUCACACUUAGAAUAGGAGUCAAGAUGAUCACUGCUCUUGUGAUUUUUACUGCAUCAUUCAUCUGCCAUAUUGGAAGGUCUUCUGCAGCUAAAGAUGUUCACCAGACACCUACAGAUUUAAUCAAGGAUACACAGGAGUCUACCAAUCUUUCCUGUUCUCAUGCCAUACCUAGCCAUCAGGUUAUGCUGUGGUACAGACGAUCUGAAAACAAACAGUUACAGCUUCUUGGAUAUCUAAAUUCAAAGUUCCCAUAUCCUGAAGAUUCCCUGAAAGCCAAAAUCGAGUUGCAUGGAGAUGGAAACAAUGAAGGGAAACUUACCAUCAAAAAUCUGCAGCCAGAUGACAGUGCAGUUUAUUUCUGUGCAGUGAGAUUAGACACAGUGCUACAGGACUCUGUGAUCUAUGACAAAAACCUCCUCCUUCAGAGCAGCACAAAUCUUCCACAUGCUGUAUGCUUUCAAACUACAUGUUCAACAACCGCCAUUAAACUACAUUACAGACAUGACCUCUGAUUCUGUAAUUUGGUUCUUGACAUUUAUUUACAUUUAGACAACUGAAAUAAGG